rnacentral:ncRNA from 1 species
UUUGGUUUCUUGCUUUUCCAUUAAAAAGCAAGUGGUGCGGAUGGGACUCUCUCCCGCCUGGUUUCUUGCCUCCAGUUAAAGGGCAAGUGGCGAGCCUGAGU